rnacentral:rRNA from 1 species
CAGGAUGAACGCUGGCGGCGUGCCUAACACAUGCAAGUCGAACGGGGUGUCUGAUCUUCGGACUGGACACUUAGUGGCGGACGGGUGAGUAACGCGUGGGUAACCUGCCUCAUACAGGGGGAUAGCAGUUGGAAACGACUGAUAAUACCGCAUAAGCGCACAGUACCGCAUGGUACAGUGUGAAAAACUCCGGUGGUAUGAGAUGGACCCGCGUCUGAUUAGCUUGUUGGCGGGGUAACGGCCCACCAAGGCGACGAUCAGUAGCCGGCCUGAGAGGGUGAACGGCCACAUUGGGACUGAGACACGGCCCAAACUCCUACGGGAGGCAGCAGUGGGGAAUAUUGCACAAUGGGGGAAACCCUGAUGCAGCCGACGCCGCGUGAAGGAUGAAGUAUUUCGGUAUGUAAACUUCUAUCAGCAGGGAAGAUGAUGACGGUACCUGACUAAGAAGCCCCGGCUAACUACGUGCCAGCAGCCGC